AGAGUUUGAUCAUGGCUCAGAUUGAACGCUGGCGGUAUGCUUAACACAUGCAAGUCGAACGGUAACAGGCCUUCGGGCGCUGACGAGUGGCGGACGGGUGAGUAACGCGUAGGAAUCUGCCUUGUAGUGGGGGACAACGUGGGGAAACCCACGCUAAUACCGCAUACGCCCUACGGGGGAAAGCGGGGGAUCGUAAGACCUCGCGCUAUGAGAUGAGCCUGCGUUAGAUUAGCUAGUUGGUAGGGUAAAGGCCUACCAAGGCGACGAUCUAUAGCUGGUCUGAGAGGACGAUCAGCCACACUGGGACUGAGACACGGCCCAGACUCCUACGGGAGGCAGCAGUGGGGAAUAUUGGACAAUGGGCGCAAGCCUGAUCCAGCAAUACCGCGUGUGUGAAGAAGGCCCUAGGGUUGUAAAGCACUUUCAAUUGGGAGGAAAACCUGCCGGUCAAUACCCGGUAGCUUGACAUUACCUUUAGAAGAAGCACCGGCUAACUCCGUGCCAGCAGCCGCGGUAAUACGGAGGGUGCGAGCGUUAAUCGGAAUUACUGGGCGUAAAGCGUGCGUAGGUGGUUCGUUAAGUCAGAUGUGAAAGCCCCGGGCUCAACCUGGGAACUGCAUUUGAAACUGGCGGACUAGAGUUGAGUAGAGGGGAGUGGAAUUUCAGGUGUAGCGGUGAAAUGCGUAGAUAUCUGAAGGAACACCAGUGGCGAAGGCGACUCCCUGGACUCAAACUGACGCUGAGGUACGAAAGCGUGGGUAGCAAACAGGAUUAGAUACCCUGGUAGUCCACGCCGUAAACGAUGUCAACUAGCCGUUGGUCCUAUAUACAGGAUUAGUGGCGCAGCUAACGCAUUAAGUUGACCGCCUGGGGAGUACGGCCGCAAGGUUAAAACUCAAAGGAAUUGACGG
rnacentral:rRNA from 1 species